AAGGGUUUAACUGAGACACUUUUUUCUAUAUUAUCUUGGCUAACUAUUGUUAUUCAGAUAUCUUCCGCAUUAGUUUGAAAAAUACGAAAAGAGUCUACUACCCCUUCUAUAGCCUUAGGAUUACGAUUCAACAAAGAUUGCAAUAGGCGUCAAUGAAACAGAUGACCCAUCUACUAGACAAUAUAGUGGAGGACCAUCUAGAAGAUUCAAAGAUGAUAAUGAAGGGGGGUAUUCUGAGGAAGAUGAUUCAUUCAAUUAAACUCUCAUUUGUAUUAAGAUUUAAGACUAAGUACUAAGAUGUAACUCAUUAUGAAGGAAUAACUACUUAGUAAAACGAUAUAUUCUUUAAUCAAAUACCCAAUGUAUUUAUACAAGUUACCAAUAGUCAUAUUAACUAAACUAACCACAACUGAAAUAACCAUUAACUACUCUAUUUUUUUUAACUUCACAAAUCACUAUUUUCUG
rnacentral:lncRNA from 1 species